CGCGGCAAGACGGAAAGACCCCGUGAACCUUUACUAUAGCUUGACACUGAACAUUGAGCCUUGAUGUGUAGGAUAGGUGGGAGGCUUUGAAGUGUGGACGCCAGUCUGCAUGGAGCCGACCUUGAAAUACCACCCUUUAAUGUUUGAUGUUCUAACGUGGACUCGUAAUCCGGGUUGCGGACAGUGUCUGGUGGGUAGUUUGACUGGGGCGGUCUCCUCCUAAAGAGUAACGGAGGAGCACGAAGGUUGGCUAAUCCUGGUCGGACAUCAGGAGGUUAGUGCAAUGGCAUAAGCCAGCUUGACUGCGAGCGUGACGGCGCGAGCAGGUGCGAAAGCAGGUCAUAGUGAUCCGGUGGUUCUGAAUGGAAGGGCCAUCGCUCAACGGAUAAAAGGUACUCCGGGGAUAACAGGCUGAUACCGCCCAAGAGUUCAUAUCGACGGCGGUGUUUGGCACCUCGAUGUCGGCUCAUCACAUCCUGGGGCUGAAGUAGGUCCCAAGGGUAUGGCUGUUCGCCAUUUAAAGUGGUACGCGAGCUGGGUUUAGAACGUCGUGAGACAGUUCGGUCCCUAUCUGCCGUGGGCGCUGGAGAACUGAGGGGGGCUGCUCCUAGUACGAGAGGACCGGAGUGGACGCAUCACUGGUGUUCGGGUUGUCAUGCCAAUGGCACUGCCCGGUAGCUAAAUGCGGAAGAGAUAAGUGCUGAAAGCAUCUAAGCACGAAACUUGCCCCGAGAUGAGUUCUCCCUGAGACUUAGAGUCUCCUGAAGGAACGUUGAAGACGACGACGUUGAUAGGCCGGGUGUGUAAGCGCAGCGAUGCGUUGAGCUAACCGGUACUAAUGAACCGUGAGGCUUAACCUUACA
rnacentral:rRNA from 1 species